rnacentral:rRNA from 1 species
UACGUAGGGUGCAAGCGUUAAUCGGAAUUACUGGGCGUAAAGCGUGCGCAGGCGGUUGUGCAAGACAGAUGUGAAAUCCCCGGGCUUAACCUGGGAACUGCAUUUGUGACUGCACGGCUGGAGUGCGGCAGAGGGGGAUGGAAUUCCGCGUGUAGCAGUGAAAUGCGUAGAUAUGCGGAGGAACACCGAUGGCGAAGGCAGCUCGCUGGGACGUGACUGACGCUGAGACGCGAAAGCGUGGGGAGCAAACAGG